ACGACGACGACGACGACGAUUCGGUGGGCUUUGCUGAUUGACCAUUUCUUCGAUUAUAAUUCCAACCUCAUAUAUAAUUACUCCUUUAGCAGAUUUUGAGUCUUGCUGAUUGAAAAUGCUGAAUUUUACAACGAUCUUCUGCAAUCGUCUGAAGGUUAGAGAGCUUCUCUCCAAUGUUCCUGUGUACGCAAGCAUUACAGAUGGCUCUGCUGGUGGAUUAAGCUUGAUUUUGAGGCGUUGGGCUACCAAGAAGACGGCUGGAUCUACCUAGAAUGGACGAGAUUCAAAACCAAAGAAUCUUGGAGUGAAGAAAUUUGGCGGGGAGAUAACUUCGUUGGUGAUAGAAAUCGCUGGCCUUUGUUAUGCUAGAGCAUGCAAUUUUUGUUUUGAUUUGCUUGAUCGAUUUUUAUACAGAGGUUGAUACCUGGAAAUAUCAUAGUUCGGCAGAGGGGAACUCGUUUUCACCCUGGAAACUACGUUGGGAUGGGGAAGGAUCACACCCUUUAUGCUCUAAAGGAAGGAAAUGUCAAGUUUGAGACGCACAAGCUUAACGGCCGCAAAUGGGUGCAUGUUGAAGCCAAGGAUGGAUAUGAGCUUCACCCUGUUUAUGCAACAGCUAGUGUCGCUUCAUCCCGGCUCAAGACAGCCUCUUGAAUUGUGAUUUCUUAUUCGUCUUUCAUUUGGUUUUUAUCUUGGAUGGAUUUCCCACAUGAUUAAAUAGAUGAGUUAAAUGUUAGUUUCGGGGUAAUUAUUCACAUUGCUUAAUACUAGUUCAAUUUCUUCGAGAUACUGUUGGAACUGUGUUGUUAGGAGGCGUUGGCAAGCAUGUUGGAAAUUGUUAGUUUCGUGGAGUUGUGAUGCUUUUGAUUGCCUGCAAUUCAACAAUUACUUCACUGGCUGAUUGGAUGGAUAAGCAAUAUAGUCAUUUUGAACCAAACUUGUUUUUUAUGGAUAUGAUUGGUUAUGGAAAGGAUUUUAAGGAAUGCGUG
rnacentral:misc_RNA from 1 species